AGACAGCAGCAGCCGCGGUAAAACGAAGGGUGCAAGCGUUACUCGGAAUUACUGGGCGUAAAGCGUGCGUAGGUGGUUGUUUAAGUCUGUUGUGAAAGCCCUGGGCUCAACCUGGGAAUUGCAGUGGAUACUGGGCAACUAGAGUGUGGUAGAGGGUAGUGGAAUUCCCGGUGUAGCAGUGAAAUGCGUAGAGAUCGGGAGGAACAUCCAUGGCGAAGGCAGCUACCUGGACCAACACUGACACUGAGGCACGAAAGCGUGGGGAGCAAACAGGAUUAGAUACCCCGGUAGUCCCUGUCUCUUAUAC
rnacentral:rRNA from 1 species